rnacentral:rRNA from 1 species
UACGAAGGGGGCUAGCGUUGCUCGGAAUCACUGGGCGUAAAGCGCACGUAGGCGGACUCUUAAGUCGGGGGUGAAAGCCUGUGGCUCAACCACAGAAUGGCCUUCGAUACUGUCGGGCUUGAGACCGGAAGAGGUAAGUGGAACUGCGAGUGUAGAGGUGAAAUUCGUAGAUAUUCGCAAGAACACCAGUGGCGAAGGCGGCUUACUGGUCCGGAUCUGACGCUGAGGCGCGAAAGCGUGGGGAGCAAACAGGG